GACUGGCAGAGAAAAGCAGAAAGAAACAGAGGAUGAUGGAAAAAGUUCUUCUCAGCAUCACAGCUGCAUCAGUGCUGUGUGCCGUCUCAUCAUACGCUCAACGUCAGUACCACUUUGUUUAUGAGCCAAAGACCAUGACUGAAGCGCAGAGUUACUGCAGAGACAAUUACACUGACCUGGCCACGAUAGACAACAUGGAGGAUGUGACGAUCCUGAACAACAUGGCAGAUUUAAGCAAAAUGGUCUACCCGGAAUACAGCUAUGGAUUCUGGAUAGGACUGUACGAUGACGUGAACAGCUGGAGGUGGUCGCUGUCAGACAGACAUUUCUAUAAACCCGGGGAGGCUGAGUUCAGAAAAUGGCACCCUGGGCAACCAGACAACUAUCGCAGUGCAGAACACUGCACACAGAUGUAUGAUGGUGGACAAUGGAACAAUGAGGAUUGUAUCGCAUCCUUUCGUGCAGUCUGCUCUGAUGUCAGAGGGUCAAAUGUGACAUUUGUCCUCAUCAACACUUUCAUGACAUGGACUGAAGCCCAGAGCCACUGCAGAGAGCACUACACAGACCUGGCCAGUGUGAGAAAUGAAGAAGAGAACCAGAAGGUGAAGGAUCUGAUACCUGCAGGACAAAAAGUCUGGAUCGGCCUCUUCAGAGACUCCUGGAAGUGGUCUGAUGGAAGCAACUCCUCCUUUAGGUACUGGUCUCCAUCGGAACCUAAUGACGGCAAUAAGAAUUGUGUGGCAGCAAACUUUGGCCGUUCUGGACAAUGUGAGGACUGGACCUGUGAUGUGAAGAAAGCAUUUGUUUGCUACAAAGAGACCCAACAUUAACCCAUGAGCAGCACUUUGUGACAGCAGCAAGGAAAGAACACUCGCCUUUAACGAGAAGAAACCUCAAGCAGAACCGGACUCUAGGUGGACGCCAUCUGCCUUGACAGGCCAUAUAAUUUUAUGUACGUGGAGCUGUACACGUGACUGACAGGUGUCUCUGUGAUUCUAACAAUGAUCUACAACCCGUGAUGCCACAUUUAAGCAGCUUGGACAAAGCAGAAUUUUUAUGAUUUUAAAAGUUAACUCAUCUGCGAGGGCCCGUGAAGGCAACGCAUGUGACAUCAUCAUGUCUUGCUGUUGCCAUGGACACAGAGGAGCCACAACGCUCUGAGUUUCAGUCAUUCAUCAGCAGGUGCAGGAGCAGUGCAGCCCGUAUCAUGGGGGGCCCUACCCACGCGACCCAUGGACUGUUUGACUCCCUCCCCUUGGCCAA